UACGUAGGGGGCAAGCGUUGUCCGGAUUUAUUGGGCGUAAAGCGUCCGUAGGUGGCGUGUCAAGUCUGCGGUCAAAGACUGGGGCUUAACCCUGGAAAGGCCGUGGAAACUGACGAGCUAGAGUGCAGUAGGGGUAGAGGGAAUUCCCGGUGUAGCGGUGAAAUGCGUAGAGAUCGGGAAGAACAUCGGUGGCGAAAGCGCUCUACUGGACUGCAACUGACACUCAGGGACGAAAGCUAGGGGAGCGAAUGGG
rnacentral:rRNA from 1 species